CAUUACACCACAAUGGGGUUGACSACCGUGCCACCACCAUUGUCUUGUACAAGGGUACUGCAGUCAUGGCAAAGGCCAAGAACUCAGAGCCACCUGAUGAAAUGGUUGUGAGGAAGCUAAGGACAUCAACCAGGAGUGGCAUAAAAUUCACUCUUUACCAAGCAUUCCCUGGGCCCCUUCCUGACGUGACGUGCUGUCUGCUGGACCAAGUUUGAGGAGCAUGAGACCACAGCCUGCCAGCCUGUCAAGGUGCUGCAUGGACUGGAUGAAAUGACUCUGGUUGAUUUGGUCCAAUGCCCUGUGGGUCAGUACUGUCAUAUCAGUGUCCCCCAACUUUCACCAGGGAGAUUCUAAAGCAUCCAGAUGCUCCUGCAUUCCCCCAACUCCAAGUAAAAGAAAGUCAAUUGCACUGUAAUUUAAACUUUGUCCCUACUUGCAGAGAGCUUAAAGGUGUCACCAGCAUUGUCAUCUGCUAUUGAGAAUGGCACAGUCGAGCAAUCUGCCUGUCCACUAUGGAAGGAAAUGAGGAAACCAUGUGUGACUGCUAGCCGGUUUAGGGAGGAAUGCCACGAGCGUGGGGAGUCAUCUAAGCAGGCCAUAACCAUGAGAAUGCUUAAAGGUGAGAGGCAAACCAAAGCUAUGACAAAGGGUAUUCAGCUUGAGCCAGAAGUUCUACAGAACUACUCUGAAUUAUUUAAUGUCUUGGUCAAACCUUGCGGUUUCAUUGUGCACCCAGAUGCACCACAUCUUGGGGCAAUUCCUGAUGGGAAAAUGUAUGACCUGCAUCGCCGCCCUCCGGGCUAGCCGAGAUCAAGUGCCCUGAUGUUGAGAGUGUAACUGAUGUGAAGGACUGUAAGUUUGUCAAUGACCAGGCCAAACUCCGACACAGCCACAAAUAUCACUGACCUCUUCUACACCUACACGGCUGUGUACCUUAAAAUGGAUGUAGUGUAGCAUCUGAGCCAAUCCUAUUUGGCAGGGCACUGUUUCCCAAGGCAAUGUACAGAUGAUGUACCGUAAGUGACUAAUUAACAUUGUAUGUAGAGGAAAAUGCAUUUUAAUGAAUGAAUUUGUAUGAUCUUUGUAUGGACCCACAACCCACUUGAACCCACAACCCACAUGAACCCACAACCAGGGCUGUGGGUUCGAUUCCCACAGGGGACCAGUAU